GACGAACGCUGGCGGCGUGCUUAACACAUGCAAGUCGAACGGAAAGGCCCUGCUUUUGUGGGGUGCUCGAGUGGCGAACGGGUGAGUAACACGUGAGUUCCCUGCCCUUGCCUGUGGGAUAAGCUCAUGCAACUGGGUCUAAUACCGGAUAGGAGCUCCCGCCGCUGGGUGGGGGCUCGAUAGUUUCGGCGGUUGGGGAUGGACUAGCGGCCUAUCGGGUUGAUGGUUGGGUAGUGGCUGAGCAAGGCCUUGAGCGGUAGCCGGGCUGCGCGGGGGAGCUGCCCCAUUGGGACUGGAAUGAGGCACAGACUCCUAUGGUACGCAGCAGAGGAGAAUAUUGUACAGUGGGCGGAGGCCUAAUGCAACAACGCCGCGUGCGGGAUGACAGGCAGCGGGUAGUGAACCGCUUUCGCCUGUGACGAGACGUUAGUGACAGUAAUGGGUGAAUAAGCACCGGCUAACUACGUG
rnacentral:rRNA from 1 species